CAAAUCGGAAUACGAAAGGAAUACGAAUAUGUCUAGUCUCUGCUUGAUCUUAACUACUUUUUGCUUAUUGUAUCAUUUAGUGUUUACUAAACUUCUUCUUAUAAUCGCAUUAGAAAUCUGAUGUUCAAUAUUCAACUGUACAUGUCAUACAUGAUCACAUAUUUAUCCACUCUGACCACUAUUCCUUGCAUCAAACAAGUUAUCGCCAGUGCAUUUGCCAUUACGUCACUAGCCACCUGUUGACUGUUUGUUUCAUUAUUUGCGGUAUAUGCACCUGUCAUGUGUCAGACUUCACUGGGUGUUCUCAAGUGCAGGAAGAUUGACAAUUACCAUGAUUUUAUUUAACUAAUUUACUUUGUACCCAGUUAAGCAGUUAAAUGUUAUUGCUUUACACUGUUCAAAAUAGAUUGAUCAUUUGUACGACUUGAUAAUGACAUUAUGUGUAACAGGUGGUGAAAAGUCAAUUCAUAACGGGACUCAACCCAGGGCCUCUAACCAAUGAUACCAUUAGUUGUAAUUAAUUCAGCAGUGGCGGACAUCUUGGCAAAAAUUAAAGCAGCAGCCUAAGGGUUAAUCCAUAUUAAUUUUGACAAGUGUCCCAUACUCAUGCCACCUUCAAUAUAUGCAAGAAAAAGGUUUACCUUAGGCCAUAUAAAUAUAAUUUUCAGAUUCUCAUCCCUAACCCUUUUGUGAAAGUAGCCCGCCCCAAUAUAUAAGUUUGAAAAAAAAUUGUAGAAAAAAAUAUUCAUGAAAAAAAUCAGCCAAGCCUAAAUUCUUGUGUAAAAUAAUGCAUAUCGUUUUCAUGAAAGUAACAAUAAAAAGCUAAUGAGCUAAACCCUGAGACCCAGAUGAGUAAAAAAAUAUUCAUACCUCUUCAGCAAGAUCCUCUCCAAUGGCUUCAGGCCACUUGCUAUUUCUUCAUUUAUUGUUGCUGCCCAGUUUUGACGGUUUUCAUAACUCGUACACAGCAGUUUAGAGACUUCACUACUCCUUAGCUUGUUGAAAAGGAUUAUUCUCGUCAUUGCUGCUCCAGCUAACUUUUUCCAGAAUGUAACGUUAUCUCUUUGCUUUUCAAGAUCUACUGUCAUUUCACGAAUUUGUUCAUCCGGGUGUUUUUUUCAAUAACAAACGGUCACUCGUUAUUGGGAGUGCCAAAGGCUUGUUAAAGAACAAGGGACGUUAUUGACAGAACUUGGCCGAAUCUUGAAAGACAAUGAGACCCAAUAACAUGUUUGGACUAACAGAAGUGAACAUGGAGGAGGAAGAGUUUGGAGCGGAGGAGACAGAGGAUGCGGGAGAAGCAGAGGAUGAGCAGGAGACACAGGGAUGGAGCAGAGACAUUGUCAACCACUUUUGGUACUCGUGUUCCUAUGCCACAGAUGUAGACAGCUUCAUGGAGGUGUGGUGUGGGGUUGUCCACCAUGUCGUAAAUGAACACGAAUGGAGCAUGUCUUACUCAAGCAGUUACUUUGGGAACAACAAAUGUAUGCAUGGUCCAAUGGAGGAGGAAGGCCACAAAGACUGGAUCAUAAAAGGCAGUCCUGCACACACAGCUUUGAUCCAGAUUGUGUUCAAUAAAAGGUUUCUCCGGCAGAUACAUUAUUAUGUGAAUUUCAGGAGCACUGCCGAGUUAGAGAACUUCAACAACCUCAUUCUUAUGUACAGCGGGAAAAGGUUUGCCUUUUCACCCCCCGUAUAUAAUGCACGAUGUCAGUUGGCAGCAUUGGACUACAAUGCCAAUGUUGACAGGGAAGUUAAAAGAAAUUCUGAUGGAUCAGUACAGCAGCAUAGAACUUUCAACAAGAAGAGUGGCCGCUGGAGCGUCACACCUGUAAAGGUUGAGAAGAGUUAUAUCCAUGUGGAGAUUCUUCAGAAACGAAUCGUUCAAGCACGGCUGACUGACCAGGAAGGGAUGUGCCACCCUGCAGUCCUUGCUGCCACUGACCCACGACGCCUGAGCAGGACCAUCGCACCAGUGGAGCCCAAACCAACAGCAGUGCUACAGGAGGAGAAAGUCUCUAGAUUUAUGAAGAAAGACUGA
rnacentral:sRNA from 1 species